rnacentral:rRNA from 1 species
CCUACGGGUGGCAGCAGUGAGGAAUAUUGGUCAAUGGACGAGAGUCUGAACCAGCCAAGUAGCGUGAAGGAUGACUGCCCUAUGGGUUGUAAACUUCUUUUAUAUGGGAAUAAAAUGUUCCACGUGUGGGAUUUUGUAUGUACCAUAUGAAUAAGGAUCGGCUAACUCCGUGCCAGCAGCCGCGGUAAUACGGAGGAUCCGAGCGUUAUCCGGAUUUAUUGGGUUUAAAGGGAGCGUAGGGGGUUUGUUAAGUCAGUUGUGAAAGUUUGCGGCUCAACCGUAAAAUUGCAGUUGAAACUGGCAGUCUUGAGUACAGUAGAGGUGGGCGGAAUUCGUGGUGUAGCGGUGAAAUGCUUAGAUAUCACGAAGAACUCCGAUUGCGAAGGCAGUUCACUGGACUGCAACUGACACUGAGGCUCGAAAGUGUGGGUAUCAAACAGGAUUAGAUACCCGAGUAGUC